rnacentral:rRNA from 1 species
GACGAACGCUGGCGGCGUGCUUACCUCGUGCAAGUCGAACGAGAAUCUGUGGAAAGAGGAUUCGUCCAAUUGAAGCAAAGGACAGUGGCGGACGGGUGAGUAACGCGUGAGGAACCUGCCUUUCAGAGGGGGACAACAGUUGGAAACGACUGCUAAUACCGCAUGACACAUAGGUGUCGCAUGGCACUUAUGUCAAAGAUUUAUCGCUGAAAGAUGGCCUCGCGUCUGAUUAGCUAGUUGGUGAGGUAACGGCCCACCAAGGCGACAAUCAGUAGCCGGACUGAGAGGUUGAACGGCCACUUUGGGACUGAGAUACGGCCCAAACUCCUACGGGAGGCAGCAGUGGGGAAUAUUGGGCAAUGGGCGCAAGCCUGACCCAGCAACGCCGCGUGAAGGAAGAAGGCUUUCGGGUUGUAGACUUCUUUUGUCAGGGACGAGUAGAAGACGGUACCUGACGAAUAAGCCACGGCUAACUACGUG